UGGUGAGGAUAUUUGUCCCUAAGCUCUCGCCGUAGCAGCCGCCGCCCAUCCCUCUUUGUGUGCUUUGGAAAGCUGCGAAGCUGGUGGUGGCUACAGUUGGUGUUGGGGGCUUAGGCGAGAGACGUUACCGGGAAGUUGCAAGCGGGAGGUUUCUUCCUCAUCCAGUCACCUGGCAGGUCACAAACAUGUCAGACAAAAGUGAAUUAAAGGCUGAGUUGGAACGUAAGAAGCAGCGACUGGCCCAAAUCAGAGAGGAAAAGAAGAGAAAAGAAGAAGAAAGGAAAAAAAAAGAAACUGAUCAGAAGAAAGAAGCUGUUGCUCCUGUGCAAGAAGAAUCAGAUCUUGAAAAAAAAAGAAGAGAAGCUGAAGCAUUGCUUCAAAGCAUGGGGCUAACUCCAGAAUCCCCCAUUGUCCCUCCUCCUAUGUCUCCAUCCUCCAAAUCUGUGAGCACUCCAAGUGAAGCUGGAAGCCAAGACUCUGGAGAUGGCGCCGUGGGAUCUAGGACGCUGCAUUGGGAUACAGAUCCAUCAGUUCUUCAGCUUCACUCAGAUUCCGAUUUGGGGCUUGACAAUAUUUUUCCAGCUAUACGAGGACCUAUUAAACUUGGAAUGGCUAAAAUCACUCAAGUCGACUUUCCUCCUCGAGAAAUUGUCACAUAUACAAAGGAAACUCAGACUCCAGUUAUGGCUCAACCCAAAGAAGAUGAAGAGGAAGAUGAUGAUGUAGUGGCUCCUAAACCACCUAUUGAACCUGAAGAAGAAAAAACUUUGAAGAAAGAUGAGGAAAAUGAUAGUAAAGCUCCCCCUCAUGAGCUGACUGAAGAAGAAAAGCAACAAAUCUUGCACUCUGAGGAAUUUUUAAGUUUCUUUGACCAUUCUACAAGAAUUGUAGAAAGAGCUCUUUCUGAGCAGAUUAACAUCUUCUUUGACUACAGUGGGAGAGAUUUGGAAGACAAAGAAGGAGAGAUUCAAGCAGGUGCUAAACUGUCAUUAAAUCGACAAUUUUUUGACGAACGUUGGUCGAAGCAUCGGGUUGUUAGUUGUUUGGAUUGGUCAUCUCAGUAUCCGGAGUUACUUGUGGCUUCCUAUAAUAACAAUGAAGAUGCCCCUCAUGAGCCUGAUGGUGUGGCCCUUGUAUGGAAUAUGAAAUACAAAAAAACUACCCCAGAGUAUGUGUUUCACUGCCAGUCAGCUGUGAUGUCUGCCACAUUUGCAAAAUUUCAUCCAAAUCUUGUUGUUGGUGGUACAUAUUCAGGCCAAAUUGUGCUUUGGGAUAACCGUAGCAAUAAAAGAACUCCAGUGCAAAGAACUCCACUGUCAGCAGCUGCACACACACACCCUGUAUAUUGUGUGAAUGUUGUUGGAACACAAAAUGCUCACAAUCUGAUUAGCAUCUCUACUGAUGGAAAAAUUUGUUCAUGGAGUCUGGACAUGCUUUCCCAUCCACAGGAUAGCAUGGAGUUGGUUCAUAAACAGUCAAAAGCAGUAGCUGUGACAUCUAUGUCCUUCCCUGUUGGAGAUGUCAACAACUUUGUUGUUGGGAGUGAAGAAGGUUCUGUGUACACAGCAUGCCGCCAUGGCAGAUACUGGACUUUUGAGGUCUGUUGUCAACAGCAUGAUGUUUACAGUUCCAAAGCAAAGCUGGAAUCAGUGAGAUGUUUGAAGGGCAUCAAGGACCAAUCACUGGCAUCCAUUGUCAUGCAGCUGUUGGAGCAGUAGACUUCUCACAUCUUUUUGUCACUUCAUCAUUUGACUGGACAGUAAAGCUUUGGACAACUAAGAAUAACAAGCCUUUGUAUUCAUUUGAAGAUAAUGCAGACUAUGUUUAUGAUGUUAUGUGGUCACCUACCCACCCAGCCCUGUUUGCCUGUGUGGAUGGCAUGGGGAGAUUGGAUUUGUGGAAUCUCAAUAAUGACACAGAGGUACCAACUGCCAGCAUUUCUGUGGAGGGUAAUCCUGCUCUUAAUCGUGUGAGAUGGACCCAUUCUGGCAGAGAGAUUGCUGUGGGUGAUUCUGAAGGACAGAUUGUUAUAUACGAUGUGGGAGAGCAGAUUGCUGUUCCCCGCAAUGAUGAAUGGGCACGGUUUGGCCGAACACUUGCAGAAAUAAAUGCAAACCGAGCUGAUGCAGAGGAGGAAGCAGCUACCCGAAUACCUGCUUAGUUCCUGAAAAGGGGAGUGUAACUAGUGGAUUUGGGAAAGGUUCUUAAGUAGAUCCCAAGAUUAUUUGCAUGCUUCUAUCUAAAUGAUAAUUAAAAGGAAAUUUCAUGGAUUAAACCAUGGGUUUAAUGCAGUAAGGCGACUUACAAUGUCCUUUUAUAUAUAACAUGCAUCUUGUUUUGGAUUUGUGUCAUUUUUUAAUAUAGCUCAUUGACUUCACAGAAAGCAGCUUUUUUGAAUUCUAAUACACAGGUGUAUAUUUGGUAUUAUUUUGAAUUCUUUUCAACUUAUAACACUGUAUACAGUUAUUUCUAAAGCACAGAUGAAAUAAGUUCUGCAUAUUUUUAAAUGAUCACGGUUCCCUAUGACACAGAUAAUGUUCUCACUACCCAUAAUAUAUAGGAACAUUGUUUCUCAUUGGCCGUAGUAUGCAUACACCUAUCCAUGUUCCAUUCUGACAUCCUUUGUUGUCUUUAUAAUUCAUGUGGUAGUUACCUAUAAAUAAAAACAAAUAUGCGUUAACUUCUCAAAUUUUCAUUUUUACUCCUUACAACUUGAAUUUUUCCAUCUUUUAUAAAAUAUAUUUUUUCCAUAUCUUUCUUUAAGCUCCUGCUGUAAGCAGCCAUCUCAAAGCUGUGUGCUCUAAAUAUACCAUGUGGUAUAUACUAUAGAUCUCCCAGUGCAUUGUGAAUUGAUGUCUAGAUAAUCUGUUGGUGAAAAAAUUUCCCCAGGUUAACUUUUGUUUUACUACUUUAUAUUCUUUCCAUCUAAGACAUAUUUCCUUUAAAGGAUAAAUAGAAGGCUGCCUAUAAUUUUCACUGAUUAAGAACUAUGUAUGUGACCUCACUGAGAGUAAAACCUUUGAGAGAAAUUGAUUUCAUAAUUUCAGUAGCCAUAAAGGCAAAGUGCUCAGAUGGACCAUACUUUGGCAUUAAAAUCUACAUCUUGAGAUCUGUUGCCACAGCAUUGUCUACAAGUCAGAAAGGUAGGUGACAAAUAUCUAAGAAUUAGUAUUGAAAUCAGUGAAUUUCAGGAAUAGAGGAAAGGACUAUGAUCAGAUCUUGAUUUUGUCUACUUUAAAUUGUAGAUUUACUUGAUCCCAAACUUUUGUACUUCUGAAGUGUAACUGUCUUUUAUUCAACAGAACAUGAACUAGGAAGAAAGAUUAGAAAUCAGAAUUUGAACAUUUUUCUUUCAAUAAUUGUAACAAAGAUUUGUUGGGAGAGAAAUUUCCAAAUAAUAAGUAGUGUAUAGUGUAAGGAAUAAUUGACUUGGAAUUAUUGGCCCCAAACUCUCAUUCUUGCUGAAGCACCUAUGAGAAGUGUGAUUUUAGCCAAGUCUGUGCCUCAUUCUUUAUAUGUGGGAAUUAAGUUUUGAUUUAAUGAUUUCUGAAUUUUCUCUCAGCUCUCCUCAGUUAUGGGGUAUCAAUAUAUGAAACUGAAUAUAGAAAAGUAGGCAAUUCUUUGCUUUUCUGUAUUCAGUUUCAUAAAUUGAUACCCCAUAAUUGCCCAUUAUAUACCAAAGACAACAUCUCAAUUUAUCUCAUUGUAGCAGUGUCUGUGAGUCAAAUCUUCAAUUUUAGCAGUCACACUGUCUUUAUAUAGAAAAAUUCAUGUACUCACUACUCAUGUAGUUACUGUAUCUCUACCUUCAGUUUGUAAAAAUGACUAAAAGUAGGGAAAACAAGUGUUAAAAUAUAAUGGACAAGAAAAGGUUGGAAAUCCUAUAUCAAAUCAGAUGUUCCUCAAACUCCAGGUGUUGUGUUUAGUUGUGAAAGAAAGAAUAAAAUUGUUUAAAUGUUUCA